AGUGAACGCUGGCGGUAGGCCUAACACAUGCAAGUCGAACGGCAGCACAGUAAGAGCUUGCUCUUACGGGUGGCGAGUGGCGGAUGGGUGAGGAAUACAUCGGAAUCUACUUUUUCGUGGGGGAUAACGUAGGGAAACUUACGCUAAUACCGCAUACGACCUACGGGUGAAAGCAGGGGAUCUUCGGACCUUGCGCGAUUGAAUGAGCCGAUGUCGGAUUAGCUAGUUGGCGGGGUAAAGGCCCACCAAGGCGACGAUCCGUAGCUGGUCUGAGAGGAUGAUCAGCCACACUGGAACUGAGACACGGUCCAGACUCCUACGGGAGGCAGCAGUGGGGAAUAUUGGACAAUGGGCGCAAGCCUGAUCCAGCCAUACCGCGUGGGUGAAGAAGGCCUUCGGGUUGUAAAGCCCUUUUGUUGGGAAAGAAAAACAGCAGGUUAAUACCCCGCUGUUCUGACGGUACCCAAAGAAUAAGCACCGGCUAACUUCGUG
rnacentral:rRNA from 1 species